GGAAUUUUGGACAAUGGGCGAAAGCCUGAUCCAGCAAUGCCGCGUGAGUGAAGAAGGCCUUCGGGUUGUAAAGCUCUUUUGUCAGGGAAGAAACGGUGAGAGCUAAUAUCUCUUGCUAAUGACGGUACCUGAAGAAUAAGCACCGGCUAACUACGUGCCAGCAGCCGCGGUAAUACGUAGGGUGCAAGCGUUAAUCGGAAUUACUGGGCGUAAAGCGUGCGCAGGCGGUUUUGUAAGUCUGAUGUGAAAUCCCCGGGCUCAACCUGGGAAUGGCGAUGGUGACUGCAAGGCUAGAGUUUGGCAGAGGGGGGUAGAAUUCCACGUGUAGCAGUGAAAUGCGUAGAUAUGUGGAGGAACACCGAUGGCGAAGGCAGCCCCCUGGGUCAAAACUGACGCUCAUGCACGAAAGCGUGGGGAGCAAACAGGAUUAGAUACCCGAG
rnacentral:rRNA from 1 species